UGAAGAUGAUGAACAAAGUGCUUGCUGCCAU
rnacentral:piRNA from 1 species